GUUUCACCAUGUUAGCCAGGAGGGUCUCAAUCUCCUGACCUCAUGAUCCACCCGCCUCGGCCUCCCAAAGUGCUGGGAUUACGGGCAUGAGCCGCUGCGCCCAGCCCCACCAAGCCCUCAUUUUUGAAGUGAAAUAAAGGAAAAGGCUUAAAUAGCGUGAAAGCGAAUGAAGUCAUAAUAAAACAGCUAAUCUCUAUUGAGAGCUUUCUCAUAACCAAGGCUUUCCUAAGAGCUUUCCAUGAAUUAACUCAUUUACUGUGUAUAACAACCUUACUAUUGACAGUCUGCCUUCAGAUCCCAGCUUUGUGACCCAAGGCUUUGUGACUUGGAGCCACUUCACUUCUCUUGGCCUCAGUGCCUUCAAUUAUAAAAUAGGAAAAAUAAUCAUACCCGUUUCUUACCAUAUUUUAUGUGUGCUCUCAUUUAAGCUCAUGGUAGUCCUGUGAGGUGCAGAGAUGGAAGAGAUGAAAGCUUGAAGGCUUGAGUUUCUGAUAAAAGUUUAAAGGCCUGGAGUAACACCCCACAGCUAGGAAGUGGGUAAUGUCUUUAAAAUCUCACUACACAAAGUACUGGCUUUGUGAAAAGGCUCUGACCUAUUUUGCCCUGCCUGGAUUGGUUUUAACAUCAUGUAGAUACUUCACUGGCUUUGUCUACUAACCCCAUGCCUGGGGAAUUAUAAGGAAGGGAUUCGGGCACCGUGUUGUCUGCGGCAUGAAUCUUGCCAGGCUGUGGCUGUCACCAAGGUUAUUGGACACUCCUCCCUGAGCAGGACCCACCUGGGAGGCAUGCAGAUGACAAGUGCCACUCAACCUUUUCCUCAGUGCCUGCUGGGCCCCGUGUGCAUGUUCAGGUAAUGAGAGGAACCUCGGAGCAAGUGGAGUAAGUGAGUGUGGUCACUCCAACAACAGACCAACCCAUGAGAGGUCUGAUUUCACGUUAAAAUGGGAAAUAUUUGGUUGAAUGGAAUUGACGGAAAGGCAGGAAUAGCCUUUCUCAUUCCCUCAUGGAUAGAAAAAAUGCACAAACCACGUUAUCUGUUGGGUUGCAUGGAAUCGCUCUGACUGUUUUAUUACCACCAUUCACGUAGCAUUUUAUGUGAAAGGGAAUGCUGGGCG
rnacentral:lncRNA from 1 species